GGAUUGGAAAUGGGGGCACCCUGAUCCAGCAAAUGCCGCGUGUGUGAAGAAGGCCUUCGGGUUGUAAAGCACUUUUAUCGGGAACGAAACGUGUAGGGUGAAUAUCCCUGCAAACUGACGGUACCCGAGGAAUAAGCACCGGCUAACUUCGUGCCAGCAGCCGCGGUAAUACGAAGGGUGCAAGCGUUACUCGGAAUUACUGGGCGUAAAGGGUGCGUAGGUGGUCUUUUAAGUCUGUUGUGAAAUCCCUGGGCUCAACCUGGGAAUGGCAGUGGAUACUGGAAGGCUAGAGUGCGGUAGAGGGUAGUGGAAUUCCCGGUGUAGCAGUGAAAUGCGUAGAGAUCGGGAGGAACACCAGUGGCGAAGGCGGCUACCUGGACCAGCACUGACACUGAGGCAUGAAAGCGUGGGGAGCAAACAGGAUUAGAUACCCUGGUAGUCCACGCCCUAAACGAUGCGAACUGGACGUUGGGAGGAACUUGCCUCUCAGUGUCGAAGCUAACGCGUUAAGUUCGCCGCCUGGGGAGUACGGUCGCAAGACUGAAACUCAAAAAAAUUGACGGA
rnacentral:rRNA from 1 species